GUGUACUGCCUUUUACUGAGAACUCAAACACUUGUUUGAUAAUCAGAUUAAGUUUUUUUAUUACUUUAUUUAACCUUUAUUUAACUAGGCAAGUGAGUUAAGAACAAAUUCGUAUUUACAAUGACGGCCUACUUGUAAAGCCCCCCUGGCCAAACCCAGACGACGCUGGGCCAAUUGUGCGCCGCCCUUUGGGACUGCCGAUCACGGCCAGUUGUGAUACUGCCCAAGAUCGAACCCGGGUCUGUAGUGACACCUCUAGCACUGCGAUGCAGUGCCUUAGACCGCUGCACCACUCGGGACCCUGUGUGGGAGAAUGGUGAUACAAUAGGUGUGUGUUAGGAUGAAAUGGCUGUCUGUGUGUAUCUUGUCCGAGGUGCACACAGCCAGGAGGUGAUAACAGGCUGCUUAUUGACAGGUUGUUCAGCCCAACCGUGUCCUGGCCUGGCCUGUCUGUACACAGCUGUGCAUAGUCUCAGGCCCUGUUUUAUUGAAUUUCGGUGUAUAGCACAAACCAAACAGCCACCCUAUGCAUAGGCUAUGCCUACAAUUCCGCAUAAAGUUAUAUAAUAGGCCUCUCACACAUCUCUUAUUAUCAGGCUAUCAUACAAUGUAAGAUAAUUAUGAAUCUAAACUAAUUUGGCAUUGGCGGCUAUAGGCAGGUUGCAAGAGAAUGGAUCCCACAAAGUCACUCAGUUAGUCUCGGCUGGGCUAUUCAAGGCUAUAGACUAAACUCGCAAGUUGCCAUGGCUGGCAGAAAUGAAGCGGGAGUGACGGAGAGGCGCCUGCCGAUCUCCUCCAAACCCCACGUUGUGCCGCACUUCAUCACCAUUGGGGUGAGCGAGCGCUGUGUUGCUGUUAUGCUGGUGGGUACACACCUCUUUUAAGUCUGUUGUCCAUAAUUUACAUCUAUGCGUGGCACAGACUAUACUCUCCUCCCCAAUAAUUUAGUCUGGCAGUUGCAGUCUGAUUUGUCUUUAAUUCAAAGGAAGGUUCGAAAAGAAGUCUGACAUUCUUAGUAAAUGUUGCCUACUUCAAAUCAAUUGCAUAAGCAAAAAAACAUCUGGUCUGGAUCGGUUGAAAGGUUUGAAAGUAGCCUGAGUCUACAUCCCGGUGCGUGAGUAAGGAAAGUAUCACCAGUUCGCCUUGUCAGGGUGAAUUUCGUAGGCUACCGUGCUCUUUUGCUGUUGACGUUCAACCAGGAAAAUACCUGUUUUUUAUCUGAAUUCUUAUCUUUCAACCACCUCUUCUUUAUUUAAGUAAUACUUCGGAGUUUAAAUGGAACAUUGGUGUUUAGCCUGAGUGUGGAAAUAGGACUAUAUAGGCUAUUAUACGUUUUACGUUUUAAUAUGGGCUGUAUACUUUUUUUCAGGUCCUAAAGCGUUAACUCCCCCCCCCCCCCCUCCGUUGGCCAUUGAAGAGAACGCUGCGUGGGCUGCUAGAUCAUUUGAGAGUGCAUUUUUCUCCUCCAAUCCGCUAUACAGAGCACACUCCCCAUAUGCCCAAUGGGGAGAAGGGGUGGCUCUAACGAAUUUGAAUGAAGAGGGUAGCUUUCGGCGCCAUUUUCGAGUGAGCUGCGAUUGCUUCAACAGCUGAGAGGAGAGGCUGCAGUGAGUAGGCAAGACGAGCUCUGGAGCUGUCGCAAGAGACGGACAUUAUUUUCGGAGACUCGUAAAAUUAUAUACAAAAAUUAUCCCUAAAAAUAACGCCGAUGGAUAAAGAAAAUGGAUAGAAGGCCAAGACUACUUCGUAUCAGGACUGGGGGAAACGUUAGAUAGUUAGCCAGCUACUGUAACGUUAGCAUUACUAGCGAUAAGAAAUUGGUGUCUGACUUGGCGUCUGUUGAAAUGUAACGUUUAUAAAUGCAUUUACGACAAAAUAAGUGGACCUCUCUAAAAAAAGAAGCAAACAUUUUAGAAAAAAUAUUUCAGGGUCGAUUGAGUGGAGAAUGACCGGUAGAAUUUAGAUUUUUUUUUGCGUUUUAGUCCUAUUUUAGAGCGUUCCGUUUGAGCGGGAGGUGGAAAAGCGGGAGGCGCUGGAGUGAAGAGCCAGUCGGCACCGCUGUCAACAACAUGCACUGCGAGAUGAAUCUUCAUAUCGUUGGCUACCUCUUGAAAACGCCGCAAAGAUUUUUCUGUAAACCCGAGGACACCUUUUCAUGUUUGAUUUAUUCAUUUUUUUUUUAAUGUUUUUUUUUUAAAGGAAUUUUAAAAGUCUUACUUGUUUCACGAUUUUAUCACGUUUCUAGCUAAGUUAACAUUGGUGGAUUCGCUUGAUUGAAAACGUUAUACAACGUUUUAUGUUUCAUCAGGUGCCUGGUGUCAGACGAUCCCACAGGUGAAGAAGCCGGAUGUGGAGAUCCUGGGCUGGCGUGGUUACAUCUUGUCUGAGGUUGUGAGGCCAGUUGGAAGUAAUGACAAAUUCUCUCAAGCAACAUUGGAGGUGGCUUGUGGUAGAGAAAUUAUCUGGCAACAGUUCUGGUGGACAUUCCUGCAGUCAGCAUGCCAAUUGUACGCUCCCUCAACUUGAGACUCCUGUGACAUUUUUUGUGGGGCAAAACUGCACAUUUUAGAGGCCUUUGGUCCCCCGCACAAGGUGCACCUGUGUAAUGAUCAUGUUUUAAUCAGCUUCUUGAUAUGCCACACCUAUCAGGCGGAUGGAUUGUCUUGGCAAAGGAGAAAUGCUCACUAACCGGGAUGUAAACAAAUCUGUGGACUUUACAUGUUGCCUUUUAUAAUUUUUGGUCAGUGUAUAUAUUCUACUAAAAGGUAGAAUACAGCUCAGUCUGUAUGGACAACCUGUGUUGCGGUCACUAUAGCUGACAUUCUAUGGCUUUGCUGUGCGAAAUGUAGUGGGAUAGUUUACUAGAUGUGUAAAUGUGAUAUUUAAGGUAUUAAUGUAGCCAUUAAUUAAAAUAAAUCACUCAUUACAUUAA